rnacentral:rRNA from 1 species
UACGUAGGGCGCAAGCGUUAUCCGGAAUUAUUGGGCGUAAAGAGCUCGUAGGCGGUUUGUCGCGUCUGCCGUGAAAGUCCGGGGCUCAACUCCGGAUCUGCGGUGGGUACGGGCAGACUAGAGUGAUGUAGGGGAGACUGGAAUUCCAGGUGUAGCGGUGAAAUGCGUAGAUAUCAGGAGGAACACCGGUGGCGAAGGCGGGUCUCUGGGCCGACACUGACGCUGAGGAGCGAAAGCGUGGGGAGCGAACAGG